AUGGCCGCCUGUCAGCGUCUGCCAACCUUGGGCGGGAACAUGUGCGAUGGUGUUGGCGUCGAGGCCAAAAUGAGUUGGUUGCCCUAUGCGUCCAUCUGCGCAACCAUCUCCAGCGCCAUGUCCAUAUGUGCCCAGAAGGGGCCGGACGAUCCGCUUGCUGCUCCUCCCGAUCGAUGCCAAAAACGAAGGCGAGGGGGUGCUCAUCCUGGUGCGCUAGGGACAAGGCCACAGUCCGCGAGCUCGCCAUUAAAGAAAGGAGGUUGGAUAGGUCGCAGGAGGGAGACCGGAGGGCGGUCAAAGACUGACAUGGCCUGCUCUUACGCCUCCAAGCUGCAAAGAGUAGCACGACGAGCAACGGAGGAUGAUCAAAGGCAUGUAUUCCUGUGA
rnacentral:rRNA from 1 species